rnacentral:rRNA from 1 species
UCAGACGAUGCGUCAUGCAUAUCAAUAAGCGGAGGAAAAGAAACUAACAAGGAUUCCCCUAGUAACGGCGAGUGAAGCGGGAAGAGCUCAAAUUUGAAAUCUUAAAGGGUUUCCCUUUACGAAUUGUAGUUUAAAGAAGUGUUUUCUGUUGAGGUUUUGGUAAAAGUUCUUUGGAAUAGGACAUCAUAGAGGGUGAGAAUCCCGUAUUUGACCUUUACUUUCAACUUUGUGAUACACUUUCAAAGAGUCGGAUUGUUUGGGAAUGCAGUCCAAAAUGGGUGGUAAAUUUCAUCUAAAGCUAAAUAUUGGCGAGAGACCGAUAGCGAACAAGUACCGUGAGGGAAAGAUGAAAAGAACUUUGAAAAGAGAGUUAAACAGUACGUGAAAUUGUCAAAAGGGAAGCGUUUGACACCAGUGUCGUUUUUCCGAAAAUCAAUUAAAGAACUGUUUAUGCUAAGCUGUUUAGACUUUAUCAGCUAUCUGUUUAGUUUUGAGCAUUUCUUUAAUGCACAUUUUCAGUUAACAAGUCAACAUCAAUUUCUUUUGCUGUAAAAAAGCUUGAGGAAGGUGGCUUGAGAUUCGUCUUAAGUGUUUAUAGCCUCUUGCCUAUGCAGUCGGAGAGAUUGAGGUCUGCAGCGUAGAUCCUUCGGGGCUAAAUGCAUUUGUGCUAAGUUAUAGCAUUUCAUAGACAACUUGUUGACUAUGAUUUGUCUUGUAGCUUACUCGCUUAUGUUAUUUUACCUACGCUUAGGAUGUUGACACACGCGCGUGCUCG